AGUGGGGAAUCUUGCGCAAUGGGCGAAAGCCUGACGCAGCCAUGCCGCGUGAAUGAUGAAGGUCUUAGGAUUGUAAAAUUCUUUCACCGGGGACGAUAAUGACGGUACCCGGAGAAGAAGCCCCGGCUAACUUCGUGCCAGCAGCCGCGGUAAUACGAAGGGGGCUAGCGUUGCUCGGAAUUACUGGGCGUAAAGGGAGCGUAGGCGGACAUUUAAGUCAGGGGUGAAAUCCCGGGGCUCAACCUCGGAAUUGCCUUUGAUACUGGGUGUCUUGAGUAUGAGAGAGGUGUGUGGAACUCCGAGUGUAGAGGUGAAAUUCGUAGAUAUUCGGAAGAACACCAGUGGCGAAGGCGACACACUGGCUCAUUACUGACGCUGAGGCUCGAAAGCGUGGGGAGCAAA
rnacentral:rRNA from 1 species